GGGAGUGAAAUAGAACCUGAAACCCUGCACUUACAAGCUGUGGAAGCACAUUUCUUGUGUGACCGCGUACUUUUUGUAGAACGGGCCAACGAGUUACGUUAAGUAGCAAGGUUAAGCACUUAAGGUGCGGAGCCGUAGCGAAAGCGAGUUUUAACUGAGCGUUCAGUUACUUGACGUAGACCCGAAACCGGGCGACCUACCCAUGAGCAGGAUGAAGCGAAAGUAAAAUUUCGUGGAGGUCCGAACCCACGAGCGUUGAAAAGCUCGGGGAUGACUUGUGGGUAGCGGUGAAAUUCCAAUCGAGCCCGGAGAUAGCUGGUUCUCCCCGAAAUAGCUUUAGGGCUAGCCUCAAGGUGAGAGAUACGGAGGUAGAGCACUGAAUGUCCUAGGGGGUAUUGCACCUACCGAAGACUAUCAAACUCCGAAUGCCGUCAUCUUAUACUUGGGAGUCAGACUGUGGGUGAUAAGAUUCAUAGUCGAAAGGGCAACAGCCCAGAUCGUCAGCUAAGGUCCCUAAAUGUAAGUUAAGUGGUAAAGGAUGUGGGAUUGCACAGACAACCAGGAUGUUGGCUUAGAAGCAGCCACUCAUUCAAAGAGUGCGUAAUAGCUCACUGGUCGAGUGAUCCUGCGCCGAAGAUUUCCGGGGCUAAAACUUACUACCGAAGCUACGGCAUCAGUAAUGAUGGGUAGGGGAGCUUCCCAUACGGGUUGAAGCAUGACCGUAAGGACAUGUGGACAGUAUGGGAGUGAGAAUGUUGGCAUGAGUAGCGAGAUGUGGGUGAGAAUCCCACAGGCCG
rnacentral:rRNA from 1 species